UCCUACGGGUGGCUGCAGUCGAGGAUCUUCGGCAAUGGGCGCAAGCCUGACCGAGCGACGCCGCGUGUGGGAUGAAGGCCUUCGGGUUGUAAACCACUGUCAGAGGGGAUGAAAUGCGUAGGGGUUCUCUCCUACGUUUGACAUAGCCUCAGAGGAAGUACGGGCUAAGUUCGUGCCAGCAGCCGCGGUAAGACGAACCGUACAAACGUUAUUCGGAAUCACUGGGCUUAAAGGGUGCGUAGGCGGCGGCGCAAGUUGGGGGUGAAAUCCCUCGGCUCAACCGAGGAACUGCGCUCAAAACUGCGUCGCUUGAGGGAGAUAGAGGUGAGUGGAACUUAGGGUGGAGCGGUGAAAUGCGUUGAUAUCCUAAGGAACACCAGUGGCGAAAGCGACUCACUGGGUCUCUUCUGACGCUGAGGCACGAAAGCUAGGGUAGCGAACGGGAUUAGAUACCCGAGUAGUCGG
rnacentral:rRNA from 1 species